rnacentral:rRNA from 1 species
CCUACGGGAGGCAGCAGUGGGGAAUAUUGCACAAUGGGGGAAACCCUGAUGCAGCGACGCCGCGUGAGUGAAGAAGUAUUUCGGUAUGUAAAGCUCUAUCAGCAGGGAAGAAAAUGACGGUAUCUGAUGAAGAAGCCCCGGCUAACUACGUGCCAGCAGCCGCGGUAAUACGUAGGGUGCAAGCGUUAUCCGGAUUUACUGGGGGGAAAGGGCGCGUAGGCGGCAGCGCAAGUCUGAAGUGAAAUGCCAGGGCUUAACCCCGGAACUGCGUUGGAAACUGUUCAGCUAGAGUACAGGAGAGGUAAGUGGAAUUCCUAGUGUAGGGGUGAAAUGAGUAGAUAUUAGGAGGAACACCAGUGGCGAAGGCGGCUUACUGGAAUGUAACUGACGUUGAGGCGCGAAAGCGUGGGGAGCAAACAGGAUUAGAUACCCCAGUAGUC